AAGGAAAGGGUUUCCUUGAAGAGGCUUUGCUGGCAGGAAUGACAAAGAAGCCUGAAAACGUCCCCUUUUUUUGGUGCAUUCAUGGUGGUACCUAGGGUGUGAGAUGUGAUGUUCGUCUCCACACAUGGCAGAGAUGGCAUCAGAGCUGCUUGGGAGCUUCAGAAACCCUGGACAUCUGAGAGGUGUGGACCUCCAAGCCCUUGGGCAUUUGCUCCAGACGCAGGCGACAGCCAGGAUGUGUCAUUUCCAGUCCCACCAAACCAACCAGGGACAACCGCAUCGAUAAGAGGUUAUCCCGCUUGGCCCAAGAGCCUACCUCACCUUCCCUAGGGAUUAUCCCCUCUACAAAUGGCCAGUUUCUUGGCUCGGAUGCCACAGAGAAAACAGGGCUGCUUCUGCCCCUCUCCUUCUCCUGCUGCUGUGCUGAAGGCUGCGGUGGGAGGCCUGCCUGCCCUCCUCGCCUCACCAAUGCUCAACACUCCCAGAUGGUGGGCGAAGGUACUUCUGAACUUGCUCGACAGGUAAAACCUUCCCUCUCUGUGAAGUCUCUC